rnacentral:rRNA from 1 species
AAUUAUUUCAAUUUUCUUUCACAAUACUAUUACACUAUAAUUAAAAUUAUUUUUUCUUUAUUAAAUACUAAAACAAAUCUUUAUAUAAUUAUUUUUAAUAAUUUAAAAUUUAAAAAAUAUAAAUUAAUAAAUAAAAUAUAAUCAAUUUAUAUUGAUUUGCACAAAAAUCUUUUCAAUGUAAAUGAAAUGCUUUACUGAAUAAGCUUUAAAUUGCAUUCUAGGUACACUUUCCAGUACAUCUACUAUGUUACGACUUAUCUUACCUUAAUAGUAAGAGUGACGGGCGAUGUGUGCAUAUUUUAGAGCUAAAAUCAAAUUAUUAAUCUUUAUAAUUUUACUAUCAAAUCCACCUUCAAUAAAUAUUUCAAAUUUAUAUUCGUAUAAAUAAAUUUAUUGUAACCCAUUUCUACUUAAAUAUAAGCUACACCUUGAUCUGAUAUAUUUUCUUUUUAAAAAUUACGAAAAUUAACAUUCUUAUAAAAUAUUCUAAUAACAACGGUAUAUAAACUGAAUACAAACUUAAGUGAGGUCCAUCGUGGAUUAUCGAUUAUAGAACAGGUUCCUCUGAAUAGACUAAAAUACCGCCAAAUUUUUUAAGUUUCAAGAACAUAACUA